ensembl:lncRNA
GUAAAACACAAAACCUUGAAAGAGUGGAUUUGUACAAAAUACAAUGACUGGCAGUGGACAGAUGCAAGCUCAUCAAUAGUUACACCCUCUACAAUAAAGAAGAUGUGUGCUGUGUCACACGACGGCCCAUCGACUUGUUUCACUAACUUAUCUGCACGAGGCAUUUUGCAAACGUGGCAUUUUAUCUUCAAAGAACAAAGACACUGUGCAUGGCUCCUUUGUUUACGUUAGGGAUCAGCUGUUAGCGCUGCGCUACCGGCAGAUAGACCCUACGUCCCCAGUGAGGGAAGAGGCGGGGGUGAUGUCUCCCGAGAAGGACACCUUACACACCAUCUCUCCUUCCUGUAAUCACUGUAAAUGUGAGAUCGCUCCCUGAUAUGAUUGAGGAGCUAAUGACGCUAACCCGGUCACAGUGGCAGUACCC